UUUAUGGAGAGUUUGAUCUUGGCUCAGGACGAACGCUGGCGGCGUGCCUAAUACAUGCAAGUCGAGCGCGGGAAGCAAGCUGAUCCUCUUCGGAGGUGACGCUUGUGGAACGAGCGGCGGACGGGUGAGUAACACGUGGGCAACCUGCCUGUAAGACUGGGAUAACCCCGGGAAACCGGGGCUAAUACCGGAUAAUACUUUUCAUCACCUGAUGGAAAGUUGAAAGGUGGCUUUUAGCUACCACUUACAGAUGGGCCCGCGGCGCAUUAGCUAGUUGGUGAGGUAACGGCUCACCAAGGCAACGAUGCGUAGCCGACCUGAGAGGGUGAUCGGCCACACUGGG
rnacentral:rRNA from 1 species